AGACACCCAGCAUUGCAGCUAGAGCCGUGGUGGAGGACGACUCCCAAUCCUCUAUCCUGUCCAAGACUCAGAUGGAUGAUGCUUCUGUUUCAAACAGCACUCCUCAACAGAAUGGACAAACAGUGCAAAGGUAAAACUGCCCAUAAGAAGAAAACACCUUGGCUGCAGACAGAGGUGCAGGCGGUGGAAUGGCACACGAAUCGCUUCAUCACAUCUUGUAUCGUACCAGCACAGCGAGACUGUGAGAAGUGUUUAAGGGCUGAACCAGAAGCUCCUAAGAACCGUGACUGGCAAAAUCUGAAAUUCUAUGUUUAUAAUCGUAUUACGGCCUACAAAAGAAAAUUGCAAUACAGAUAGUUUAAAGAUCA